rnacentral:lncRNA from 1 species
CCCCUUUCAAAAAUCUACAUCCCAGGAAUAAUAAGAUUGAAUUUUAAAUAAUAAGCGUAACUUUCUCCUGGAAUUCUAAUGUCUUGAAGACAUUAUUAAGAUUUUUAUGAUGAGGCAGAAUAGAAACCUAGAGCCAAUCUGCUCAAUAUAGCUGUGCUGAUUUAACACAGUAGCAAAUCAAUUUAAUUAGAUCAGUGAUUAUACCUUAUGUGAGCACACCUUCAUGCUAGAGGAGGCUGAAACGAGUGGGAAAUUACUUGUUGGGUUUAGAAAAACGAACCCAACUGCAGACUUACACCUCCCAUUCCCCCCAAAAAAAGAAAAUAAAUAAAUAAAGCCCGCGACACAACAGCAAAACAUCUAUUUCUUUAAAAACAGAUCUUUUUUUUCUGGACCAAAGUACGGAGUGGGGCAGGCAGGCUGCGAGGAGGGAAGGUGCCGUAACGUCCGGUGUAAAGGCAGCCAAGGAGAGGUGGAUGGAGGAACUCCAGCGGGGUAACCCCUGGACCCCGACCACCACCAGCAGCCCCCUGGGUCCACAAGAGCAGGCAACACAGAGCAGCACGGACCGCAGCCAGCCAGGGGAUCACCCAAGGGAUCGAGUCUUGGAUCGGUGCCAUCUACAUCUAUAUCUAUAUUUAUAUAGAAAGGGAUAAACAGACACAAUCAUGGCUUUAGAGAGCUCUGAUGCUAUGGAGAUAGCACAGCAGCGUGGGUAAGCAGCUAUCUGAACUGCCGUUUAAUUUAAUCUAAGGCUGCUGACGGUGAUGAGGGUGCUUCCUUUUUGUUACUGGUUUGGUCAUCUGCAAGAAGCUCUGCGUGAGCAGACCCCGGUGCUUGCGUGGGAAACCCGGAGCGUAACGUGGCAUGGAUACAGGCAGCCGGGGGCAGGAUCAGUGCUUCUGCUCUCAGGUCGGCAGCAUCCGAGCCUCUCUCCACGCAGCCCCGAGGUGCUGGCAGCACCUGCGGCACAGACAGCAGAAAACUCCUGGGCUGUGUGUGCGGAGGCUGCUGUGUGUAUGGGACAAGGGAAGCACUGUGGCACCGUGUUCACCCAGCCCCGGCGACAGAGCCGCAUUGCUGCAUCCCCAUCCUGCUCUCCUUCAAGCACGUUUCUAACUAAAAAAUAAAGGUGGAAUGAGAUUAAUGUUUUAGAUAAAAAUAUGCCCGUAGUAGUUACAUGUCUCUGUGUGCAAAGGCGACAAAAUGUGCCAGCUAAUGCACGGCUGCAUCUUUGAAAGGAAGAUAAGAAGCUGCGCCUAUUAACGCAGGAAGAGAGAGGGGGUGCAAUCAGAUAUUGCUGGUGAAGAACAACUGUUAAGACUGACUGAAAUCAAAACUGCAAGAAAUCUUUUCUGUCGGCUCCAUGCUGCAAACUUUUCCCAUGCACGGUACGUCCGAUGGAGCUGUAGCCCAGGGCAGAGCUGGGGUGGGCUCGUGGGCUCUCCAUUGUCACAAGCCCUGGGCUCCGAUGAACAUCCUGGAAGCUCGGUUAAUUAUUGGCCUUGCCAUACAUAGCUGCUGUCGUCCUGUUCUUCACAUGCCUGAUGCUGGGUCAGCACCUGGGAAAUGCCUCUGCGGGUGCAUCUCUUCAGGCACUGCUCCUCAUCCCCCUUCCUCGGCUCGUGGCUGAGUCCUCGACCACUCGGACCAGGAAUGAAAAUAAACAGCGAGUCACAGCUCCGCUGCGGGCA